UACGUAGGGGGCUAGCGUUGCUCGGAAUCACUGGGCGUAAAGGGUGCGUAGGCGGGUCUUUAAGUCAGGGGUGAAAUCCUGGAGCUCAACUCCAGAACUGCCAUUGAAACUGUUAGACUUGAGGAUGAGAGAGGUGAGUGGAAUUCCCAGUGUAGAGGUGAAAUUCGUAGAUAUCGGGAGGAACACCGGUGGCGAAGGCGGCGAUCUGGGUCGAUACUGACGCUGAGGUGCGAAAGCGUGGGGAGCAAACAGG
rnacentral:rRNA from 1 species